UACGUAGGGGGCUAGCGUUGUCCGGAAUCAUUGGGCGUAAAGCGCGUGUAGGCGGUCCGGUAAGUCCGCUGUGAAAGUCGGGGGCUCAACCCUCGAAUGCCGGUGGAUACUGUCGGGCUAGAGUGCGGAAGAGGCGAGUGGAAUUCCUGGUGUAGCGGUGAAAUGCGCAGAUAUCAGGAGGAACACCAAAUGCGAAGGCAGCCCGGUGGGACGGAACUGACGCUGAGACCCGAAAGCGUGGGGAGCAAACAGG
rnacentral:rRNA from 1 species